CACGUAGGCGGUCCAGUAAGUCGGGUGUGAAAGCCCUCGGCUUAACCGAGGAAGUGCAUUCGAAACGGCUGGACUUGAAUACUGGAGAGGAUCGCGGAAUUCCCGGUGUAGAGGUGAAAUUCGUAGAUAUCGGGAGGAACACCAGUGGCGAAGGCGGCGAUCUGGACAGAUAUUGACGCUGAGGUGCGAAAGCGUGGGGAAGCAAACAG
rnacentral:rRNA from 1 species